CCCUGCUCCCUGCAGCACAGCGCCCCCUGCUGAGCCCCCACCCUGCUCCCUGCAGCACAGUGCCCCUUAGCUCUGGAGCCAGCAGUGACAGCCACGGGAGUGAGCGCCCUCUGCUGCGUAUAAGCAGUGCUGCCCCUUGCUGGAGGGGUUCGGGGCCCUGCGUGUUUGUGGCUCUCCCCACCUCGAGACGCCCUGCCCUGGGCCCUCUUUCCUGGGCUCGAUGGAGUGGGGAGGUGGCUGCAGCCCCAAGAUUUGCCCUUGUCCCCUGGGGUUAGCUAGACAGAGAGGCAGCACAGAAGGAAGGUCCUCUCCCCAGUGUGAAUGUGUGUGUGAUCGCAAAGGGACAGCACAUGUAGAGGGAGAGACUGGUGGGGGGGCUCCGUCAUUCGAGGCUCUCAGAACAUUCGACACACACAAAAGAAUGACCUCUCCCAGCGCUGAGGAGAGAACCCAGGAGUCCUGGCUCCCCGUCCCUCCUCCCCAACCCACACUCCCCUCCCAGAGCUGGGGAGAGAACCCAGGAGUCCGGACUCCCAGCCCCCCUCUAAGUCACCCCACUCCCUUCUUGGAGAACCCAGGUGUCCUGAUCCCCUAGCCAUCCCGACUCACUCAACCCCAACAGUGUGAGAGAAAUACAAGACAGACCUGAUGGUGAACGCGAUACACAGAAGAAAGAAAAGAUGUUAGACAAACAGAGAAGCGCAGGGCCAGAAGGGUAAGUGGGGGACCACUAGUUACACUAUAUAAGGAGGGAGGAGCAACCUUUUCAGCUCAAGAACCCCUUUCUUGGCUUUAGCUGGGGUAAGGAGGUCUCCCCCCCCAUUAAUCCGGUAUGUGACCCCCCCUUCCCCAGUCAAUACCCCCACCUGUAUGAAAAGCUAUAGAGAGAACGGUGGGGAAGGCCCGGCCCUGAUUCCAUCUCGUGAUGCUCAGCCAAGGCAGGUAUGAAAUCGGGCUGACGGGGUCUGCACGCUUGGUCCGAACGGCAGCACGGGGUGGACCACGGCAGGGCCCACAAGGGUCAGCUGGAGAGGAAGAAGUGCCAGGACCCAGUUGAGGACAGGGAGAGGUGAAGAAAGAGAAAGCGGCAGGGAGCAGGAGAGAGACUGAAAAGUACCGUGAGCCAUUGAGAGCUGGAGAGAGCUAGGCAGAAAGAUGGAGAGGAAGUUCUAGCGAGUUGAAGAGAGUCAGAUAGAAAGUUGUCGAGAGCCAGACAGUUGGCCAGAGCCAGCGAGAAAGUUGGGGAGAGCCCAAGAAGAAGUUGUUCGGAAUGGCAGCGCGGCAGACGGAAAGGUGCGGAGAAAACUGUAGCGAGCGAACACAACAAAAAGCCACCACAGAAACCAUGAGAACGAAAGGAAAACAGACAACAAACGACAGAUGAGAGCAGAACAAAAGGCAGCGGAAUAAAGGGCACACACCACAAUCUCAAACCAGAGGACAAGGAAGUUCAACCUGAUAUUUUUAAGCCACAAUUGUGCUAGAUUUGACUGCACGUUAUCUCUGGGUACAUCCAGACUACCUGGCGGAUCGGCAGGUAGUGAUUGAUCCCCGAAUGUGCUCCCGUUGACUCCGGAAUGCCACGAGAGGCCAUCGAUCUCGCGCCGUGAGGACAGGAGGUAAGUCAAAAUAAGAUAUGAAGACUUCACCUACAGUAUUCCCAUAGCUGAAGUUGCGUAUCUUACAUCGACCCCCUCCUCUCCUCCAGUGUAGACCAGGCCUCCAAGAGGCAAAAGGAGCCCCAGUGGCUGAGAGGUGAAACCAAAUUCAGACUGGGAACAAGGGAAACAUUUUUCACGGCAGGAUGGCCAACUCUGGAGAUUUUCGUUGCCACUGGCACUCGUACUAAAGCCCCGGUGUCGUGUGAUGACGGGGGAAUCUCAGUUGUCAAAUUGUUGUUUAAAAUCCAAGUUUUGAGUUGACAGACACGCUCCAAAGUGCAGUGUUAGCGAAAUGGAAGGCCAAUAACCUAACAUUUGGUAUAUUUUAAAGCUGAUCUCAUGGACUUUCAAGGCUCAGCGUCAGCAACAUGAAAGAUGCAACAGAUUCUCCAUAGCUUGGCAUCAUUUAGCUUGACGUUGGCUGUGUCUCCACGGGCUACCCUCUUGCUCAAACUCAAGGUAAUGCAGAAAUCAUGGGGGGAGGGGGUGGGCAGGGAAAUUCUCUGGGUUGUGUCAGACUGGAUGAUCUCUUCAGGCCUUUAAUGUCUAAUGAAAUGAAACGUCUUCAGUCUGCAUAUACACAAUCAAACUAUCUGAAAAGCCUGGCUGGUGAGUCUACGUUAGCAAAAUCACGCCUGGAGUUAAAAGAUCUGGGUUGUUUUAAACCAUUGCCUUGCUAAAGAUGUGCUUUAGAGAAAUGUAAAUCACGGGGUAAAGUUCAGGGUGAAACUCUCUGGCUCGUGCUAUGCAAGAUAGCCCGCUUGAGGGGGGAAGGCUUAGCAGUUAGGCGCUGGCUUUAAUGAAGCACAUUAGGACAGACAUUGAAAGCCGGAAGAAUCGGACAAUUCAUUUGCUUUCGAAUGAACAAAAAAGAGAAAGACUUCAAACAAAUAGAUUAAAAAAAUCAGAAGCAAACGCCCAGAAGUGACUCUCCAAUGCUCCGUGACCAGGCUGGGGGUGGGAGGGAAAAGCGCAUUCAGAGGGAAAAAAGCGACUCAGCAGGCAAAAGGCAAUGACCAUCGGGUUCCUCAGUUAAUAUUUACACACAGGAGAAGGGAUGGAAAGAACAAAUGGCAAAACAGACCCAGAGGAAGGGAAGGGGAGCGGGGGUGGGGUGUUCCUGUUAACGAAUGGGGCCUGGGAUCCUGCUGAAACUGACUUGCCCAUUGAAACGGAUGUGGCUGUGAAAGCUUUUAACUUGAUGCACCUGCUUAAAUCUGAAGCCACACCCUGUUCUCGUUAAGUCCUUCGCUAAAGCAAGCUGGCCCAUGGACCCCGACGGAUCGAUGCCCGGCCCAGAUUUACACGAAGCAGCCAAGGGCGCACUGAGUCCGAUCCGAAGGCAGAGACGCUCCGAAAGGAAGCGGUGGAUUGGCCUGAAACAUCAGCUCUAGAUUGGCCGCGCCAGCCAGCCACAGGUUUUUAGGCUCCAGGAAGGGAUCAGAUGAGACACUUGAAAUCCCAUUGACUUUUCCUGCUAGUCGGCAGGUCGGCAUCUCAAAGGCAGGCUCACGUGUCGUGCUGAGCAGGGAUGGAUUUGGGCGCACAGGACUGGAGAGGCGAUGGCAGCAAAUCCAUCCCAAAAGUGCUCUGGUCGAAUCAGCGCCCGCACGCACAAAGGCGAUGCCUGUCAUGUGUUUAUAAAAUCCAGAUCCUCGACUGUGGUUCCACUCAUUUCCACGGACAUCAAGGAAAUCAGGAGCCUAAAUAGCAUUGAUGAUCGGGGCCUAGCACAGCCAUCGCGGUCAUCCCCACGCUGGCUGCUUUGUUAAAUCCAGGGCCGCACAGAGAUCUGUUGGUGUUCAUGGGCACGCCUCACAUGGAUGAGGUGACGGGGUUGGGAGGGUGUCUCCUGCAGGGGUCAGUCCUGGGUCCGGUAUCAGCCCAGCUGACAUUGUCGCGAAUGACUUGGCUAAUGGAGUGGAGAGUGUGCUAUUCAAUUUGCAGAUGACCCGAGCGGGGAGGAGUGGAGGACAGGAUUCAAAUUCAAAACGCCCUUGACAAAUUGGAGAAUUGGUCUGUAGCCAUCACCGGGAGGUUCAAUACAGACACGUUCAAAGUCCUUCACUCAGGAAGGAAAAAAUCGAACACACCGCUACAAAACAAGGACUAAGUGGGUAGGGGGUCAGAUGGCUGGAAAGGCUCUGGGGCUGACAGUGGGUCACAAAUUGGAGCUGAAUCAGCAAUGGGAUGUAUUUGUGAAAAAAGGCAAAUGACGAAUAUCAUUCUAGGGUGUAUGAACAUGCGUGUCGUAGGUACAUGCAUGUCGUAGGUACAUGUGUGUCUUAGGUAAGACAUGGAAGGUGAUUGUCCUGCUCUGCUCGGGCCUCAGCUGGAGUCCUGUGACUUUAGACCAGACGGGGACAAAUUGCAGAGAGUCCAGAGGACAGCAACAGAAAUGAGAAAAAGUUUAGAAAACCUGACUUACGAGGGAAGGUUAUGGGGUUUGUGGAGUGGAAUCCUCCACCCUCGAUCCUCAGGGGGAAGGAUGCUGGUUCUUGGGGCGCUCCUGGGGGGCCUGGCUGAGCUCGGGGCUAGAGAAGAGGGGUGAUAUGUUCUUCUCCCAGUAGGUGGAAUUAUAUCUGCCCUGCAUAUACCCUGUCCAUGACGAAUGAAAGCAGCUCUCCACCUUCACAGCCGUGGGAGGUGAGUUCAUUUGUUGGGGUUUGUAUCAAGCUGGCCAUGAAGGGGUGUGUCUCUGUGUCUCUGUGUGUGAAAUGCUACCCCCUGCUGGAAGAAAUCAGGCCUGGUGUAUGCAAGCCCACACAUGCGUUUUGCACGCCGCCCCCUCCCCCUCCCAAAAUUGGUUCACUCUAUGGGUGGGCGAGUGCGUUUGCACCACCGCUCACUACUGUACAUCCUCAGCUCACUAUGUACAUGUGGAUGCGUGUGAUGUGGUGCUAUUUAACCGACCAAAACCAGCUCGCAGCUCCGAUCUGGAACAAAACAUUGGUUCCUCUUAGGUUCAGAAAGAGGGAAGGGAAAACUCUUUCGAUCCAAAAUGGAGCAAAUAAUACGGGACAGGGAUGGGAAAAUAGAGGGGCGAUAAAUCCAGACAGGAUCCCAGGUCAUGCGGUGAUUGGAAAACGAAUUUAUUUUGGCAGUUCUUUGAUAUGUUUUCAAGCAGCGAAAGGAGGGACAUGUCAGUGGGUUUUUUCUUUUUAGUUCAUUUGUCUUUUUAAAAAUGUUUUAGUGCCACACAGACGAAAAGGGGCUGAGGAAGAGACCGGAAGUGGAAACAGGAAAGGGAAGAAGGAAAGAAAAAUGAAGAGGUUAUUUGUCUGUUUCUUAGCAAACACACCACAGAUUACAGGAAAACAGCCCACACGGAAACAAUACACAGCUCAAUACCCCAAAAGGGAAGUUGAGGGACAUCAACAACGUGGUAGGAAUUUUUCUCCCGCAUUUGUUUUGUUUUUUUAGUCCUUUUUAACAUCUUUUUUUUGUUCGCUUUUGUGUUUUGUUUAAAAAAGAUCAAAAAAUCUAAGUUUGGUUUGUUCUUUUUUUUUUCUUUUUCGGAAGGUAGGCUGGGAAUGCAGACAUGGUGGAAUGGAGGUUGUGUAGGUAGGUAAAGGUGCUGUGAGCGCACACACAGAACACACACUAUAUAUCACAGCUAGACCCUGGGAACAAGCCGCAGCUGAUGUGAAUUGUUGGUAGUGAUAAAUCCACGGAACUAUCGUCAUUUGUACGAACUGUGAAUCUCGCUCUGUGUGUGUGUGUGUCUAGUAUAUUUUGACAUGCUAUACAUAGGCAUAUAGUAUAUUUGUGAUAUGUGUGUAUACAUAGUUACACACAUAUAUAGUAUAGCUACUAUAUAUAUGGGACUGUAGAUAUACGCUUACACAUAAAAGGACACACAGAGGACAUUUUAUAUAUAUAUGUGUGUGUGCAUAUAUAUGCAUAUAUACAGUAGCUAAACAUCUGUAGUAAAUUUACUAUAUAUGUAUGUGUGUAUUUAUUUAUAUACAACAUAUAUAUUAUACACACAGUAAAUAUAUAAUGCAUAUAUUUUUAUAUAAAGAUAUAGACAUGUAGAGUAUAUUUCCUACACGUAUGUAUGUGUGUGUGUAUAUAUCAAUCUAAAUAGCUACACAUAUAUAUAU